CACAGGCACACGAGUUCAGGGACCAGGGUUGCAUGAAAUCAGUGCUCAUGUGUUGGCUUCCUUUUUACAUACCUGGUUUAACCAGGAAUCCUGAGAUCAUCCCUCUGCCCAAGUACCAUGGGUAUGGUCAGCUGAUGGGGGUGUCCUCCCCUAGUUUGGUACCCAACUCUUCAGGUUGUGUGUGUGGACACACACACUCAGGGGAAGGGUCAUGAGAAGGACCUGAGUGAUAUCACUGAGAAGGCAAAGGUUUGCAAGGACCGUAUUAUCUUUGCUCUGUCGACUUGGACUUAACCCUAUAAAAAGAGGAAAGAGAACAGAAUUAAUGAAAGCAUCAAGUUCAGGGUCAUGUGUAGAAGGAGUCACCACCACAGUUUAAGGAGAAUGAAUCGGUGACUUUAAAGGCUUCCAGGCAUAAUUGGAUGGAGUGGGACAGUCAGUGUGUCCGCUGUAACUCUGAAGUGGACGAUGAUUGUCUUAGCUGAAAACGAAACGAACCCUUUGGGACGCUGUUGAGAAAAAUGCCAAAGAAGAAAAAGUGUGCCCACUCUGGCCACCGAAGACACUAGAGCAAUGCCGUCUGAAAUACAGAUGCCAUUUUCAUUCUUCCCUUCUUGCCUUCAGAACCCCAAUUUACAGAAGAAAAAAGAAAAAAAAAACCUUAGACAAAAGUCGAGCAGGGCCAAUACUAGUUACUU